UACGUAGGGUGCGAGCGUUAAUCGGAAUUACUGGGCGUAAAGCGUGCGCAGGCGGUUUUGUAAGCCAGAUGUGAAAGCCCCGGGCUUAACCUGGGAAUGGCAUUUGGGACUGCAAGGCUUGAGUGCGGCAGAGGAGACUGGAAUUCCUGGUGUAGCAGUGAAAUGCGUAGAUAUCUGGAGGAACAUCGGUGGCGAAGGCGGCAUCCUGGACCGGUAUUGACGCUGAGGCGCGAAAGCCAGGGGAGCAAACGGG
rnacentral:rRNA from 1 species